rnacentral:rRNA from 1 species
UACGGGGGGGGCAAGCGUUGUUCGGAAUUACUGGGCGUAAAGGGCUCGUAGGUGGCCAACUAAGUCGGACGUGAAAUCCCUCGGCUUAACCGGGGAACUGCGUCUGAUACUGGAUGGCUUGAGUUCGGGAGAGGAGCGUGGAAUUCCCAGUGUAGAGGUGAAAUUCGUAGAUAUUGGGAAGAACACCGGUGGCGAAGGCGGCGCUCUGGACCGAGACUGACGCUGAGGCGCGAAAGCGUGGGGAGCAAACAGG